GACCUCGUAGCUCAGUUGGUAGAGCAUUGAAUGACUUGUAUGCCAAAGUCGAGGGUUCGAUUCCCACCGUGGUCA